CUUUCCCUUCAGCAGAGUUUGGGAUCUGAACACUGCAUGGAGGAAGGCAUGGCAGAAGACGGAGUAGGCAGACCACUGCUCCCCAGUCGGGCCUGGGACUGACCUGGCAGAUGUCGGCUCUGGGGUCAGAACCACAUUGGAGGCUGUAGCUUCUGAGAACAGUGCUCUUCUGUCAGGACCCCACCUCACAAUGGAUUCAGACAUUUGAGCAGAUACCUGAAGACAAAGAAGUGGGCCAUGGAGAUCUUUGGGGAA